rnacentral:lncRNA from 1 species
GUAAGGGCGGUUUACUUGGAAACUACAAUGAGAACCAUGCUGCAGCCCCAAGUGGGGAAGGGGAGAAGCAACCUAAUCCGGGGAAGGCUGUGAUUCCAACAUGGCAUUUUCCUUCCAUCCUCCACAGCAUGUCUUUCUGAAUCUGUGUCUGCAAUGCCAGGGAAGAGCCAUCAGGCCUGUGCUCCCCAAAACAGAGCUGAAGAGUGGACCUCAGGAACCUGGUAAAGAUUUAGAAUGAGAGAAAAAAACUAUAGAACUAUGAAUUCAGACUGACUCUAGGGUAAAAAAAAUGAGUUUGUAUGGUAGAUUUGCACUGUGCAAAUUUAGCUAAGCAGGAGCUAUGUUUCCCAGGAUCCCUGUCUCUGCAUAAUUUCAGGUUAGCGUGGGCCACCAGAAACACACAUGAUGGGAUUUGGAAGGCUGAAGUUAAGCGUCAAUCACAUUCCUUUAAAGCACUGAAGAUCGGUGCAGGCAAAAGUGCAGAGCACAGGCACCACUGCAGCUCACCAAGUGAUUUCUGCUCUCUGGCUCACAUUAUUGACAUUGAGCAGAAGCCGGGCAUGCAGCUUCAUCAGCUCUCACCAGAUUUGCUUCCUUCAGUUUCUCCAGCUCCUGGGUCAGUUACAUGUUUAGCAACAUGAUGAAGCAAAGCAGUUUCUCUUGCAGGUCACUGGCAUCAUUGAAUUUGGAGGCUUCAAGACAGAGGCUGAAAAACAGUUUGCCUCUGUGAUUUCCAGCCUGUCCCCCUGAAUUCCAAUUUAUCAUUUCUCUCCAACAUUUCAUGUCUGUCUUUCCUUCUCGAUGUCCUGCUCUGCUAACUUCAGUCUCCAAUGCAAGACAUAGAAGCAACAGCCACACAUAAACUGUUUAGUCAGCUCCCAUAAUUGGGAAAAGUAAAAUAUUUGCAAUAAACAAUUGAUUCUACAUCACUUCCUGUGGUUCUGUUUCUCUGGGCAAACCCAACUUGAUACCAUCUGAAUAGUAGAAGUGAACCCACCAAUGUUCUUUGUGCUGGAAUUGACCUGGUUGUUAACCUAACUGGAUGAUUUGAUAGAGGCAAGAUAGAACAAUUGAGAUUUCUGACAAAGUUGUCAGGGAAAUAUAAUUGUAAAAUUGAAGAAUGGAACAGGAGCAGAUGGCAAUAAAUACCCAUGCUGAAGCAAUGAAAAUGACAGUUGGAAACCUUGAGAAUUCUGAAUUAAAUGUUUGGAGGAAGAUUGUCAAGAGAAAAAAGUUACAUGUAUAAAAUCUACAGUAGAAUUGGAAGAUGGAUCUAAUGAGAAUAACACUAAGGAAACACCAUCCUUCAAAAACUAAAAGCUCCUUGAUGAGACAAGAAAAUGAAGUGUCCCAGAAGAGGAAAUGCAGUGAAGGAAGACAAGAUUUUCUUGAACAAUGGAUGCAUUUGGCGGACCAAAUCUCAAUAUCUUCAGAUCUCUAACAUUGGUUGGUACUACAUGGGGAUACAUUGGAAAUAAGGCAUCAAUUCUGGGAAAACAUUUUGCUCAGAAAACUGAAACUCACUCUUAAGUAGAUUAUCUCAAAAGCAAGGCUUUUGG